rnacentral:piRNA from 1 species
AGGGCCAGCCGAGAGAGUUCAAACGC